GGCGAAGAGUGCAUGAUGAGGUGGUUUCUGUGAAUAUGGCAAGGUGGCUGCGGUGCGUGCGUUAGUUUUACUCGCCUCAGGGACAACAUGGGCGAGGAUCAUGGCGUCUUCUUCUUGCGUAUCUUGUUUUUGCUUUUGGGGUUAUUUGGUCAAAUUGUUCCUAGUCUGGUGUUGAACAGCAUAUUGCGGUGGUAAGAUUGGUUAUCAUCAGUUGAUUGUCGAGAGAGCCCAAAUGUGUAGA
rnacentral:misc_RNA from 1 species